UUUUUGAAAAUAAUUUAAAGUCUAAUCUGCCCACUGAUAAAUUAUUAAAGGGCUGCAGUAUUUUGACUGUACAAAGGUAGCAUAAUCAUUAGUCUCUUAAUUGGUGACUUGUAUGAAAGAUUUCAUGAAAUAUUAACUGUCUCUUAUUAAUUUAUAAAAUUUAAUUUUUUAGUAAAAAAGCUAAAAUAAUUUUAAAAGACGAGAAGACCCUAUAGAGUUUAAUUAUUAAAAUAAUUUUUAUUUUUUAUAAAUUUUUUAAUUAAAAUUAUAUUAAUUAUUUUAUUGGGGUGAUAGAAAAAUUAAAAUAACUUUUUUUAAAAUUUAAACAUUAAUAAAUGAAUAUAUGAUCCGAUUUUAUCGAUUAAAAGAUUAAAUUACCUUAGGGAUAACAGCGUAAUUUUUUUUUUUAGUUCAAAUAAAAAAAAAAGUUUGCGACCUCGAUGUUGGAUUAAAAUAAAAUUUAAAUGCAAAAGUUUAAAAUUUUGAUCUGUUCGAUCAUUAAAAUCUUACAUG
rnacentral:rRNA from 1 species